UACGUAGGGUGCAAGCGUUGUCCGGAAUUAUUGGGCGUAAAGAGCUCGUAGGCGGUUUGUCGCGUCUGCUGUGAAAACCCGAGGCUCAACCUCGGGCCUGCAGUGGGUACGGGCAGACUAGAGUGCGGUAGGGGAGAUUGGAAUUCCUGGUGUAGCGGUGGAAUGCGCAGAUAUCAGGAGGAACACCAAUGGCGAAGGCAGAUCUCUGGGCCGUAACUGACGCUGAGGCGCGACAGCGUGGGGAGCAAACAGG
rnacentral:rRNA from 1 species